rnacentral:rRNA from 1 species
CAGCAGCCGCGGUAACACGGAGGGGGCUAGCGUUGUUCGGAAUUACUGGGCGUAAAGCGCACGUAGGCGGCUUGGUAAGUUAGAGGUGAAAGCCUGGAGCUCAACUCCAGAAUUGCCUUUAAGACUGCCGAGCUAGCAGGUGAGAGAGGUAAGUGGGAUUCCGAGUGUAGAGGUGAAAUUCGUAGAUAUUCGGAAGAACACCAGUGGCGAAGGCGGCUUACUGGCUCAUACUGGACGCUGAGGUGCGAAAGCGUGGGGAGCAAACAGGAUUAGAUACCCCAGUAGUCCCUGUCUCUUAUAC